rnacentral:rRNA from 1 species
UUGAUGGUAGUGUAUUGGACUACCAUGGCUAUCACGGGUAACGGAGAAUUAGGGUUCGAUUCCGGAGAGGGAGCCUGAGAAACGGCUACCACAGCUACGGUAGGCAGCAGGUGCGUAAAUUACCCAAUCCAAACUCUGGAAGGUAGUUACAGGAAAUUUGUUGCAUAGGCUUCUAGCCUAGACACAAACGAACACAUGUACGUAUUGUGUGUUUAAUUGGAGGGCAAGUUUUGGUGCCAGCAGCCGCGGUAAUUCCAACUCCAAGAGUGUAUCUUAAUGUUGCUGCAGUUAAAAAGCUCGUAGUUGAACUUCUGGCUGUUGAGUCCGCAUCUUUGUAGACUCGGCAGUCAUCCGCUAGGAGAAGCAGUAUUUCUGUCAAAGGUUUUACUGCGGACCCAGCAUUUUACUUUGAAGAAAUUAGAGUGUUCCUGGCAGGCUAAGCUUGCAUAUAUUAGCAUGGAAUAAUGGAAUAGGACCUUUUCUGUUUUAUUGGUUGACAGAUAGGUAAUGAUUAACAGGGACAGUCGGGGGCAUUCGUACUCAGUGGCUAGAGGUGAAAUUCUUAGAUUCGCUGAAGACGCACUAAUGCGAAAGCAUUUGCCAAGGAUGUUUUCAUUAAUCAAGAACGAAAGUUAGGGGAUCAAAGACGAUUAGAUACCGUC